rnacentral:lncRNA from 1 species
AUGUCGCGCGCGGGCCCGCGCGCGCGCUUUCGAGUUUCAGUUAGUGCUUCCGGCAAACUUCAGGAAGCCCACGUGCUUGUGAAAAUAUUUGAUUUGCGAAUGAAUCCGUUCGGCGGGCGCGGGGGGCCGACGACUAUUUAUAUUUGAUCGUUCGUUAUUUAAAUAUAACCAACAAAAUAAAAAAUUCGCUGCGCUCGUCGCUCGCAUCGCAAAAGGAAAAUAUUAUCUAAUCAAUUUAGUUAAUUAACAAUUAAAAUCAAUAUCCUGAAUGUAUGUUCCGAUCCGACUGCGCCGCGGAGCGCAAGGAACCGUUUGCUCGGCCCCGCGUAAUCCUGUACACGACUACACACGCGCCCGGUCCGGCGCCGGCAGUCACAGCGACUAUAAUUCACCGGUAUAACGAAUAUAUUUAAAUAACAAAAUAUUCAAUGAGUAGGUACGUAGUCGAGAGUGCGUGCAAUGUUUUGGGCACGUGCGUCAACGCAGACCUAUGCUAAUUUCUGCAAAUUGUUAUCAAAAAAUAUCUUUUAAGAUUGUUUUAUUUCAAACUUUUUUAACCAUUGUCAAAAUUAGUUUGUAACGGACAUCUACUAACUAUAAACCACCUUCUUGCCAAAAUUCAAGUUUGUAGCUUGAAAGAUGAAGGACUUUUAUACAAACUCGCGAGAGCCUUUAGACCUCCUUAAUCCGGCCCUGUCGCAAAAUCCAUUCAUAACAAACGUAAUCUAACUGUUUACUACCUCCCUCCAAAUUUCAAGUUUGUAGCAAAAAAAAUGAAGAACUUAUAAGAGGAUAUUAUUAUUUUUUUUUUGGAUUUAAAAAAGAAUAGCUUUCAAGGUUUAAACAACAGACGACAAUAAUUGACCAUGCCCUUUUUCUCCGAAAUUACUGUAUGUAAAUUUAAAAAAAAAAUACAGAAGUUAGCUUUCUAUUUGAAAAUUCCGGGAAAACUUCAGAACUUCAGUACUUUGUUGUUUGGUUUUUUUUUAUAAUUUUCCAUUGCCCCACAGAAGUGACAUUCGUAUUCCAAAGUUUCAGAGUUCUAUAGUUUUCCGCAAAUCUUGAAGUAGAAAGCUAACUUUUGUCUUUUUUACAUAUUUUUAGGUUAAGUAGAAACGGAGAAAAGGGGAGAAUUGUCCAUUUUCUUGAACAACUUUAAAACUAUUUAUAUCAAAAUUACAAAAAACAUAUAUUUGCGAUCCUCUUACCAAGAUCGUUUGAUGUGUCAAUGCAGUUUAAAAAAGAUAAUUUUUUUUUUUUUAAAUUUCCAUUUAGCUCCCCAGAAAUGACCUUCAUACUAAUCAGAGUUUCAACGUUUUCCGGAAAUCUUCAAGUAGAAUUACAAUAACAGAAAUUAGCUAUUUCUGUAUUUUUGUCAUCAUUUUGCAUACAAUAGUUUUGGAGAAAAGGGCCUGGUUAAUUGUCUUCUAUUUGUUUAAAUAAACUGCAAGCAAUUUUUUUUCAUUCCAAAAAAAAAAAAUUAUAAUCCUCUUAUACCUUUCAUUUCAUAUAUCACACAAUGAAUUUUACAAAAGUUUUUUUUUAACUUUCAAUCUUAACCCCUAUAAGUGCCCCCCAUAUUCAAAUUUCACCUAUUCACGUACAUUUCUGCGGUUGGGUCAAUGAUCAUUUUAUACUGUAAUCCGGUUACGUCCCUACAAAAUCACCGCAAAAAGCUUAGAACAUUAAAAUUAACUUAAUAUUUUACAAACGGAUAACUGAAUCGAAAACUAUUGGUAGGUAAAAGGUUCCCCAAAUCUUUUAUACUAGGUACACUAUGAAAAAAUUAUGAAUGAGCUCUUAAAAGGUACUAUUGAAGAACUGCUACCCAUUCUGACACCAAUAUUUAACGACGUCAUCGAAACCGGCAAAAUUCCUGUUCAGUGAAAACAUCCCUUGUCAUCCUUAUUUACAAGAAAGGA